rnacentral:lncRNA from 1 species
GUGGUACCCAAUUUUCAUCAUCCAGGAAAAUAAAACCUGUGAGCUGCAAGAUGUAAAAAAACCUUCUCCUCAGGACUCUCCCAUUUGGACAUCGCAGAGCAACAGUAACUACUUUUUUUAGCUGUUUCAGAAGGUUCUUCAGUUCCUUCUGGGAGCACUUUGGGGAACUUCUACUUUGUAUAGAAAUAUUUUGGUAUGGUUUGCAUUUUUACAAUGAGAAGAUAAUAUUUUUGAAAUACUAUAAAGCAGAUGAAAAACAUUCAAAACAACCUAUUUGAAGCAGAUCUUGUGAACUAUACAAGGAUUUGUACACUUUUUGUCAGGUGUUCGCUAGAGAAGCAGUACAGAAGUGUGGAUAGUGUGUCAGCCUUGAAAUUACAUUCUGGGUUUAAAGCCUGGUGUCUCUUACCAACUCAUAAGACUGAGGAUUAACUCGAUGGAUUCUGGCGUAGUCACCCUAAAUCCCAUCUUGUUCACCCUGGUCUCCAGGUGCUUCCACCAGUCUCUAGAACCUACCAAGAG